AUGAUACUCCCUCAGUCCCAAAAUUCUUAUCUUAGAUUUGUCUAGAUACGGAUGUAUCUAAUACUAAAACGUGACUUGACACAUCCAUAUUUAGACAAAUCUAAGACAAGAAUUUUGGGACGGAGGGAGUACUAC
rfam:Triticum aestivum genome assembly, contig: Triticum_aestivum_CS42_TGACv1_scaffold_273595_3DS